CUUGAGUUCAUCCAGGUUUGAUCUGUGACUCUAAGGCUUUGUUCUUCUCUGGCUCUGCCCUGACCUGCUCCAUGAUCCUCCCUCUGUCAGCCUCCCUCUGCCCUCUAUACCCAGGGAGGGACUUGGAAUGAUGUUCUGGGAUUCUUUUCUUCUGACUUUGUGUUUGUUUUUGUUUUGGAUGGAUUUUCUCUCUUUCGCCCAGGCUGCGGUGAAGUGGCGCAAUCUGGCUCACUGCAACCUCCACCCCCGGGUUCAAGCAAUUCUCCUGCCUCAGCCUCCCAAGUAGCUGGGAUUACAGGCAUGCGCCACCACACCCGGCCAAUUUUUGUAUUUUUGGUAGAGACGGGGUUUAGCCAUGUUGGCCAGGCUGGUCUUGAACUCCUGACCUCAGGUGAUCCACCCGUCUCAGCCUCCCAAAGUGCUGGGAUUAUAGGCGUGAGCCACCGCACCUGGCCUUGUUCCUCUGACUUUGAUGCAGCUCUAGGUGCUGG
rnacentral:lncRNA from 1 species